rnacentral:tRNA from 1 species
AAGGGUAUAGUUCAAUGGAAGAACACAUACUUAGCAUGCAUGAGGCUCUGGGUUCAAUCCUCAUCACCCUCC